GUCCCCCAUGGCUCCUCAGAGACACACCCCUCUGCCUUCACUCCUCCCUUCGCUGUAAUCUCUGCCACCUCCUUCACCUCCUCCGUCAGACACAGCUCCAUUCGUGUUGACUGCCCAGAGUCCACGGAUUUGAUCUCAGGAAAAUAACCUCCACCUCCACCUCCAGGCACCCGUUUUGGGAGAUUGUCAGUGGUGGGAUCGCCCUGCGUCUCUCCAAGAGCUCCGCAAGGAAAGGUCCCCAGAUGGGAAGUCCCCCUGCAUCUCCGGGAGCUCCGCGAGGAGAAGUCCAAUCCACUGACAAAAGCAAGGACUUCUUAUACUGUGGCAGACAGGCCUCAAGGAGAACAGCUGUGCCCCCCAAUACAAAUAUAGUAUUGUUUAAGCCAUAUUGUAAUCCAUCGAUGAACCUCCUCUGGAUGUCCUAAGGGGGGGUAAACGCCGUGCCUUAUCAGAUGGAACCCUGGCUUCUCGACCCACCCCAGAGGUUCACGAAAACAGCCCCAUUCCACCAAACGGAAAAUAUUUCUAUUUCCCAUUAUAUGUCCUUCAACCGAACGUCUUUCAUAGACAUGUUGUAGCUCCAUUGGUCGCUACGCUAGCUAAUGGUGGCUGCAGGGACUAUGGACCUUUUUAUUGCACUUUAUUAUGUGCAAUGGAAAGUAAACGUAUUCACAAUUUACAUUACUGCACAACCUAUGACAACAUAAAUAACAUGCUGUAAUAACGCAAGAUUUUACCAAACAAGAUUCAAGAUUAAAGAUGAUUUAUUUAUUAAAUAAAGAAAUAUUAGGGGUGCGGGAUUAUGGCCAACAUGAUUAUCACAAUUAUUUUGAUCAAUACUGAUAUCCCGAUUAUUUACCACGAUUAUUCAUUUGAUUGACAAAUAUUUGUAUUGAACAAUCACGUUAACAUAACACUGCUUUAACAACCGUGAACCAUUGUGCUACAUUCCUGCUAAUGUACAAAUCUUUGCAGAGAUAUCACCAACUUAAAAUCAACAGGGCACAGAUUUGACAAUGUUUAAAUUGUAAAAGAUUUGUUAAACUUGAAAAUAAGGCGUUUAAAUAAAUAGGAUUACUAAAAUAAA